rnacentral:rRNA from 1 species
ACGGGAGGCAGCAGUGGGGAAUAUUGCACAAUGGGCGAAAGCCUGAUGCAGCGACGCCGCGUGAACGAAGAAGUAUUUCGGUAUGUAAAGUUCUAUCAGCAGGGAAGAAAAUGACGGUACCUGACUAAGAAGCACCGGCUAAAUACGUGCCAGCAGCCGCGGUAAUACGUAUGGUGCAAGCGUUAUCCGGAUUUACUGGGUGUAAGGGGAGCGUAGACGGCAAAGCAAGUCUGAAGUGAAAGCCCCGGGCUCAACCCGGGAACUGCUUUGGAAACUGUUUAGCUAGAGUGCAGGAGAGGUAAGUGGAAUUCCUAGUGUAGCGGUGAAAUGCGUAGAUAUUAGGAGGAACACCAGUGGCGAAGGCGGCUUACUGGACUGUAACUGACGUUGAGGCUCGAAAGCGUGGGGAGCAAACAGGAUUAGAUACCCUGGUA